CGGCGCCACGAGUGGUGAUCAUUUUUAUUGGGCCUAAAGCGUUCGUAGCCGGUUUGAUAAAUCUUCUGUGAAAUUGUCAAGCUUAACUUGACAGCGUGCAGAAGACACUAUUAAACUUGGAACCGGGAGGAGUCAGAGGUAUUCUUUGGGGAGCGGUAAAAUGCUAUAAUCCUCAGAGGACCACCAGUGGCGAAGGCGUCUGACUAGAACGGAUUCGACAGUGAGGGACGAAAGCCAGGGGAGCGAUCCGGAUUAGAGACCCGAGUAGUCC
rnacentral:rRNA from 1 species